UUAAAGGGAGGAGCAUGAGGAACUCAGAGUCCUGUUACUGAAUCAUGCAGAUUUGGGAGUGAAGGAGCAACCCAAACCCGAUCCACUGUCACUUUCUCUUUGCAGAUUUCUUCACUCUUCUAAAGGACGCACACUUUGUUCGCCUUAUUGCGCAGGGCCUCACUCUCAGGACGAAGCAUGGAUGAUGAUUUUGAACGGCGCAGGGAGCUCAGGAGACAGAAACGGGAGGAGAUGCGUCUCGAAGCAGAGAGGAUGGCAUAUCGUCGGAGCGAGGAGGACGAAGAAGAGGUGGCUCGUGAGCGCCGGCGAAGAGCACGACAGGAAACAAUGCGCAGUAAGGAGAGCGAGGAGCCGCCCUACCAACCUGACAGCACAGAGCUCAACAACAGCCACAGCGUGACAGUGACAGAGAGCAUCUCAUCCUCAGUGGUUUGCUCCAGCAGAGCAGGCGAGGGAGAUGAUGAAGAACAAGCCCUCUUGGAGCGUCUGGCAAAGAGAGAGGAACGCCGACAGAGGAGGAUGAAGGAGGCGCUGGACCGACAGAGAGAGGAGGAGACCAGCCACACCUCCCACCACAGCCUGGAGGACACCAGCAUCGGCCUGCUGCGCGGUAGGAGCUACGAGGCGGAGGAGGAGCACAACAGCAAGGAGGAGGAGAAAGAGGAGGUGAAACAGGUUGAGGAGGAGGAGGAGGAGGAGGCCCUUCAGAGGGAAGAGAGAGAGGAGGAGGUGGUGGAGGAAAAGCCACGGAGGUCUUACUGGGGAGAACAGGAGUCCGUCGAGGCCAUUUCUAAAAUACAAGAUGAGGACAAUAGUGAGCAGGACUGUGUGCCUUCUCCUGAAGUAAAUGAGGUGAUUUUAAAUGAAGACGUAGAUGGUUUUGCAGUUGUAUCAGAGAUGGAAGCGGAAGCAUUGACCGAGAGUGGAUUGGAUGAAAUGAGGGAGGCAGAAAACUGUGAGAAAAAGGAGGCAGAGAAAUUGAUGACAUUGAUGAAGUUUUCAGAAAUUGAUGAGGCUUUGAUUGAAGAUGAAGAUGUGAUGAGGAAGAAUAAACAGCCAAAUGGAGGAGUGUGUGAUGACAGCCCUACCAAACACAAGAAAGUCGAGAGGACUUACAGUCGAGGCAGCCUGUGUACUCCUGAGGCACCAGAGGCAGAUGGUGAAGAUGCCCGCUUGGAGGCAGAGAGAAAGCUGGAAGAGCUGAAGAGACGAAGGGAUGAGAUGGAGAGUGAGGAGUUUGAGAGGAUGAGGCAGAAGCAACAGGAGGCAGAGGCAGAGCUGGAGGAGUUGAGGAAGAAGAGGGAGGAGAGGAGGAAGGUGCUGGAAGAGGAGGAACAACUGAGGAAACAGGAGGAGGCCGAGAGGAAAGCCAGAGAGGAGGAGGAAAAGAGGAGAAUGAAGGAGGAGAUUGAGAAGAGGAGAGCAGAGGCCGCCGAGAAAAGGCAGAAGGUUGAGGAGUCAGUGGACGGAGAGGCCAGGAAGCCCUUUAAGUGUGUCAGUCCCAGGGGAUCAUCCCUGAAGAUCGGUGAAAGAGCAGAAUUUCUCAACAGGUCGGCGCAGAGAAGUUCUGUAAAGGCAUCUCACACUCCUGUGGUGUCUAAGAUUGAUAACCGAUUAGAGCAGUACACCACCGCAGUGCAGGGCCAAAAGGAGGUUAGAUCUCCCCGAUCGGCUGCCAUAGAUCUUCCCAUGGUGACGGACGGUAUUCGUAACAUCAAGAGCAUGUGGGAGAAGGGGAAUGUCUUCAGCUCUGGUGGGAGUCCGGCGUCUACCAACAAGGAUGCAGCUGGAAUAAAGGUGGGCGUGGCUGGCCGCAUCAAUGAUUGGUUGAAUAAAACUCCAGAGUCCGGCAAAAUGUCAGGAGGAAGACCCGUGGACCUGAAACCGGGCGAUGUGACCAGCAAACGUAGUCUAUGGGAAAACAAAGGUUCAUCUGCUACCAAGCUGUCCCCUUGCUAAUUGUCGACAGAUCUGACUACCUUGAGGAGGUGACAAACAGAGGAGAGACCAAAUCUGUCACCAAUGGAAUGGGCCAUUAACCUUUCAAAGAAGCCACAGAGGCAGGGACCAAGAGAAUGCACAACAUUCCUUUUUUAAACUUUUAUUAAUACCAAAAAAAUACAAGCAUUUUAUACUGUCCAGGAAGACCUAUGUGAGUAGUUACAGAAUAAAAAUAUACUUGAUAUAUGUUAUCACUGUACUCACAGGACACCAUCUUGCAUCAUUAAUGUAGUGCUUUUGCAUGGAACUUCCUUUAGCCUGAAAUCUAGGCUGUGAAAAUUGGACAUACGCGAUCCAGCUUUAAUUUGUUUAGAUUAACAUAAAAGCAGCCGAUUCAGAACAUUCCAACAUUCUUUAAAUAGGAGGACGAGGAGUCGCAUUCCGAAUUGUCUCUUUGUAAAAAAUCACGAGUCAUUUUAAAUAUGUCAAAAAGGUUUCACCAGUCUGUUAGUCACCCUUUUCACCUUUUAAUUUAUAAUUAAAGCAAAGCUUCAUGUCGCAAUUUCAUGCUCGCUGAUUCCAAACAAAAUAUGAGCACCCGUAGAAUAGCUGAAUUUUGUACUUGUUGUCGUAAUGACACUUUUUUUAAAUUGUCUUAAUAAUAUAUGUUAGCACAUAGUGUAAGUUUUUGUAAUUAACUAUAUAUUGUACCGCUUGAUACGAGACAUUUUUGCUUUUGCUCUCAAUAUUGUUUUAUAUCAAAACAAUAGUUUAAAAGCACCAGAAAGCCAUUGUUGUCUUACCGUUAUCAUUAUUGCAUUGUUUUUGGCUAAUUUACUCUUAGAUACACUAGUCCUAAAUUGUUUGUGACCACCUUUCAAUAAGUGUUAAUCACUAUGUGUCAUGUGGAAUAAUCUGUAUUGGUUAUAAUAGACAGUAAAACUGUUUCUCUGAAGUCUGAUCAAAGGGAACAUGCACUUUUAGAUUUAAAUAAUAUAUUCGGUCCAUACUUUUCACAAACAGUCAUCGAAAACUUGUGUGACUAAUCCAAAAACACAGCCUGAUUUCAUGUCAAACCCCAACACUGAAAUUUAUACCUUUGACUUCAAUACAGUGCUAGUUGGCAAAAAAGUCAUUUGUUGAACCGUCUGGCAAAUGUUGUCAUUUAUACGUUAAAAUACAUAUAUCAUUUUUUUGACAAAUUUGUCAGACAGAGAAUAUCCAUUUCACUUUGUUUCUAAAUGUUCAAAGAUUCUGUAUUCUGCUUGUGUUUUCGACAAUCAAGUUUGUACUUUUUUUUUCAUCUUUAUAAACACUUAUGUAUCAUUUCAGAGUAACACUAUGCAAGUCGCACCACCUUUAAUUGCAGUUACCUUGUUAAUAGUAUGACCAUUUGUAGCCAAUAGUUUCAUACAGAACAUACGUUUCAUUUUACCACAAUAAAGAGGACAAUGAAAAACCA